AGACCCCAGGCCAGGCCGUGUACGCCGCCGGGAGGGCGCGCGACCCCGGGGCUGUGGCGCCAAGUCUUCCCGGGGGCCCGCACCUGCACGCGGGGACCCCCGGCUCCCGGCUGGCGGAGCCCCAGCAUCCCGGGGACAGGCAGGGGUCGGGAGAGGGUGGCACCACGCCCCCCUGGGGCCGCUGAUGGGGGGACGGAAGUUUCAGGAAAGCGGCCUGUGAGCGGCCCUCGGGAGAAUACAGGGCGGUUGGCAGCGCCGGCCGGGCGGAGCGGGACGGAGCGCCCCGGGGCCCAGGAGCCGGCGAGAGCGAGAGCCGCACGCACUUGGCAGGGACGCUUCUCCGCCUCCCAAAACCCUUUCGACCCCCAGAGGCGUCGCGCGAAGCGUGGACGCCUCCGCGAGCCCAAGGGAGGGGUCCGCGAUGAGUCACGCAGACCCUGGCCGGCCGGGACCAGCUGCUGCGUCACCGUCAAAACUUCUGAGCCUCGCCCCGCUCCUCUGUAAACGGAGGGCCGCAACCUGCCCAGGGGCUGAAGUGACACGGCGAGAGCCGUCGGCCGCCCCCCUCUCCUCUCCGCGGCCCGGCCGAACCGCUGGGCCCCGAGCCCGGGAAAACCCAGGAGCGCCGGCCUGCUAGCCCAACGUGACCCCGGGAGCUGGCGGCAGCGAGCGACAGCCGCGGCUCUGAGGAGCUUCCUCACACCCGCUGUUUCGGCUUCCCCAUUCCUAAGGGGCUCCCCACCUCUUCUCUUAUUUCUGAGGAAACGUGGAGCACCCUAACUGACCCUCCUGAGGGGAGCGCUGGGUGACCCCAGAGGCAGAAGACGAAGCUUCACGCGGGAGCCUGCGGUGUCUGGUUUCACCAUUCACAUCCCCGGUUUGUACCGCUGAGCUGCAUGGGGUUAUCCUGAAAGAACACAUCUGUGAAAAUGAAAUAUGAGGUCCUUAUGAUAUCAUUGAAUCCAGGGUUUCUCGAACUUUAUUGUGCAUAAAAAUGACCUGGGGAUCUUGUUACACUACAGAGUGCAAUUCAGAAGAUCCGGUGUGGUACGCGAAAUCAAACUUCAGGAGAUGGUGAGUGACAGAGAAGCUUGGCAUGCUGCAGCCCACAGGAUUGCAAAAGCAUCGGACACAUCUGGGCAACUGAACAAUGACAACCCGAAAUCAACAGUUCUAACAAGCUCCCCACUGAUGUCAAACCCCUCCCCCAAGCAGAUGCUGCUGGUGCACAGACCACAUUUUGCAAGCAGUGAGCUUUCAGACUUCCAUUUCCAGCAGUUUGGCAAACCAAAGGCCCUUAAAACUUCUCCCCUUUUAGAACAGUAUGGAGAUUUCUGAAUAAAUAAAAAUAGAGCUACCAUAUGACCCUGCAAUCCUAUUCCUGGGCAUAUAUCCAGAGAAAAGCAGGAUCAAAUAGGAUACAUGCACCCCCAGUGUUUUUUGUAGCACUGUUUACAAUAGCCAAGACGUGCAAGCCACCAAAAUGUCCAUCGACAGAGAAAUGGAUAAAGAAGAUAUGGUACAUAUAUACGAUGGAAUAUUACUUGGCUAUAAAAAGGAAUGCAUUUGAGUCAGUUGUAAUGAGGUGGAUGAACCUAGAGCCUUUUAUGCAGAGUGAAGUAAGUAAGAAAGAGAAAAAUUGUGCUAAACCACUCAGGUUUGAGUGUUGUUAGUUACAGCUACAUUGAGAACAGUCUGGGGUUUGGGGAAAGAGAACGGAAGGAGGUAAACCAGGGAGGAGUAGUUUAGUCGCUAAGUCGUGUCUGACUCUUGCGAGCCCGUGGACAGUGGAGCGUGCCAGGCUCCUCUGUCCAUGGGAUUCUCCAGGCAAGAAUACUGGAGUGAGUUGCCAUUUCCUUCUCCAGAAACCAGGUAGGUGGCAACAACCCAACCAGAGGGAACCACGACUAUGUCUAUUAAUUUAUGCAUAAAAAACAGCAUCCUAUGCUUCUGAAAAGCUACUCAUAGUCUAGUGGAGAAGACAGCUCCAUAAAUAUAACUGUGAUCCAAUGGAUCAGGAAGGUGGGACCACAAAGGAGAAGCAACUAACUUGAUAGGUAUGAGCCAGGGGCAGUUUCUCAGAGAAAAGGAAGCUGGAGCUUGUUGCUCUGCCGGGAGGCUGCCUUGUGACCAGUGUCUGAACAACUUUGGCAGAGAGCACCUGGGGCAUGUUAGAUUUGCAUGAUAAUAUUUGAAAGACACCAACGUAGGACCUGUCUCAUGUAAUAAAUGAUCAGUCAUUACUAGCUAUUAAAUAAUUAUAGGAUAUUUCAAGAAAUUGUCAUCAGAGCUGUUUACUAUGCAUCCAGGGAGGGUCCAGAUUGUGACAUAAAACUCCCUACCCCAAGACUAAGGAGAUACUUUCAUCACCAAGUUCUGCCUUUUUUCGAAUUAGUCUCAGAUUUUCCCUCCUUUUCAACUGUUCAUCACCAGCACUUUUGCUCUAAUUUGUGAACAUGUUUCAUAAUCUCCAAAGGUUGACUGACACCAAAAAAGCAAACAAUGUUUGUU